rnacentral:lncRNA from 1 species
AGAACAACAACCACAUGAAUGCUCCUCAUAAGCCAUACUCAUUCUCAAAACAAAACCAUCAACAACAUUUUCAUCUUCCAUUUUCACUCUUUUUUUUUUCUUCUUUGUCAUUGCUACCAUUAUUAUUAGUAGUAGUUGAUCAUGGCCACUGUUACUACACAGGCUUCGGCUGCCAUUUUCCGGCCAUGCGGUUUGAAAUCGAGGUUUCUUGCCGGUUCUUCUGGUUAUAAAUUGAAUAGAGAAGUGGCUUUUAGGCCAGUUAAGUGUUCACCUUCUGCUUCUUUUAAGGUUUUUGCCAAGAAAGGAGAGUGGUUGCCUGGCUUGGCCUCCCCUGGUUACCUCACUGGCAGGUAUGUAAAUCUAAUAGACACUAUGUACACUGGACACCGGACACAACACUGACAUAGAUAUGUGCAUGCUACACAAGUGAUAAUUUGAGAAAAUUAUAGUGAUUGAAUGUAACCAUGUGUCAGUAUUAUGUUAGUGUUGGACAACAGAUACACUUACAAUGUUCAUACUUACACAUAAUUCAAUUGUUAAUGAUUGUUAAAAGUCACACAUCGAUAUGACAUAUCACAUGUCAUAUGGUGUGAACAUGAGUUUAUAAUUAGAGAUAAUUAUUCAUAUAUUAUUCAAAGGUAUCCGACUCUUCUAAAAUGAGUAAAGUAUAAAUCAAGUAAAUCAAUAUUUGUUAAUUCAACAAACCCGUGUUUGUUAUGAUGUACCUGUAAUGUUCGCCUUUAAUUUAUUAAUCAAUAUAUAGUUGAUAAUACUCACUUUACGCCUUAAGUUGAGUUGUUCAUUUUAGAAUAGCCGGAUCAUUUUAGAAUAUUAACCUAGUGGUUAACUUUGUAAUUUGUUUGUUUUGUGUUAUAAUUAGUCUUCCCGGAGACAAUGGAUUCGAUCCAUUGGGACUCGCAGAGGAUCCAGAGAACUUGAAAUGGUUUGUUCAAGCCGAGCUUGUAAACGGACGUUGGGCCAUGUUAGGUGUUGCAGGGAUGUUACUUCCUGAGGUCUUAACCAGCAUUGGAAUCAUCAAUGUUCCAAAAUGGUAUGAUGCAGGGAAAGAAGAAUACUUUGCUUCAUCAUCAACACUCUUUGUGAUUGAGUUCAUUUUGUUCCAUUAUGUUGAGAUUAGAAGAUGGCAAGACAUUAAGAACCCUGGUAGCGUUAACCAAGAUCCUAUCUUUAAGCAAUACAGCUUGCCAAAGGGUGAGGUUGGUUACCCUGGUGGAAUUUUUAACCCUUUGAACUUUGCACCAACUUUGGAAGCUAAAGAGAAGGAAAUUGCCAAUGGUAAAUGCUUUUUACUUUCUAGUUAUAGCUUAAAUAUUGCUUAAAACUCUUUUUUAUCGAGUCAGUCAAUCAAUCAUAAUUAUUAGAUCAUUGACCAUGUUUUACUUUAAUUAUAACUACCUAACACAUGAUUGAUUGUGAUUUACUGACUGUGUAAAACCUUUUACACUGACAGUAUAUCACGAUUAAACUCAUUUGAAUUUAUUUCCGGUACAAAUUGCAUUCGUUUUAAGUUACUACUUUUAACAAUAUACUAAUAUAGCAUGUUUAUGGAAUCAUCGGUCUCUUAUCAGAGAUUAAGUCUAUGUUUAGAGUCAGGGUGGAUACGUCAGAAUCACGGUGAUCCACCGUGAUUUCACAGAAGUUACCCUAUGUAGCGUUUGAAAAAUCACCAUGGAUUACCAUGAUCCUGGCAUACCUACCGUGAUACUGACAUACCUACCAUGAUACCAAACAUUGGCUAAGUGCAUUUUUUGGAAUUCUAAGUGAUUAUAAAUUCUUUUACUAAAAUAUAUUUAAUCUAUGUAUUUUUACUUUGAAAUUAUUGAGUUAAACUUGUGUAUAUGAAAUGAUUGCAGGAAGAUUGGCAAUGUUGGCAUUCUUGGGAUUUAUAAUUCAGCACAAUGUGACAGGAAAAGGACCAUUUGACAACCUGUUGCAGCACCUUUCAGACCCAUGGCACAACACCAUUGUCCAAACACUGAGUGGAGGAAACUAAAAUGUUUGUUGUAUCCAAUGACAUGAAAGCCUAUGUUCUCUUCAUGUAAUCCUUAAUGGAUGAAUUUUGAAAGACAUUUUGGCAUGAUUGUUAACAUCCAUAAUCUAUUUUCAUGUACAGAGGAACUAAGAUGGUUUUGUAUUGUUAAUUAUAUUCUCAAGCAUGUUAACUAGUGUCCUCGGUGAUAUAGUCUUGUCGUUGGUUGGCUGUGAUAACGUUUUAUGCAGGUGUUUGGAUUCGAUCUUAGGUUUCCAUCCUUCCCCCUCUCCGUGUUUUAUCCGUGUGUUUGGAUUCGAUCUUAGGUUUCCAUCCUUCCUUC